rnacentral:rRNA from 1 species
CCUACGGGUGGCAGCAGUGAGGAAUAUUGCUCAAUGGGCGCGAGCCUGAACCAGCCACGUAGCGUGAAGGAUGACUGUCCUACGGGUUGUAAACUUCUUUUAUAAAGAAAUCAAGUGAGGCACGUGUGCCUUUUUGAAUGUACUUUAUGAAUAAGGAUCGGCUAACUCCGUGCCAGCAGCCGCGGUAAUUCGGAGGAUCCGAGCGUUAUCCGGAUUUAUUGGGUUUAAAGGGAGCGUAGAUGGGUUGUUAAGUCAGGUGUGAAAGUUUGCGGCUCAACUGUAAAAUUGCAAUUGAUACUGGCAGCCUUGAGUACAGUUGAGGUAGGCGGAAUUCGUGGUGUAGCGGUGAAAUGCGUAGAUAUCACGAAGAACUCCGAUUGCGAAGGCAGCUUACUAAA